UCGCCUCAAUGGAACGUUGUGCUGGCGAGCGGCUCUGUGACGUCACCGCCCCCCGCCGCCGCCGUCGCCGCCGCCGCCGCCGGCCGCAGCCCGGGGCAGAACGCGGAGCUCGCACUGAGUGCAGCGGGACGGGGAGCGGGGUCAGCGGGGACGGGGAGCAGAGAGCGUUGGACGGCGUGGAAAUGGGGUUAAUUCUGCAGCCAACCAAAAAUGCAAGUGGUCUCCAAUGUUCAGAAGAAAAGAUUGGGUCACUGCAUCUGCUCCCCUCCUCCUAAAGCCAUCAUUUCACACCAGCCUGCCUAUUGUCAUCAAGCCAAGUACACGGAGUAGCAGCACACUGUGAUCGCUGCCUUUCAACCUACACUGUGGAUUAGCCUCACCACGGAUCACAGACUGCCCACCCACACAAGAAUUGUCCGCCAGAGGCACUGCAGAAAGAACACCCCCAGCAGAGACAAGGUGGGUGUCCUGAAAUUCGCUACAGCCAGAACAGUCUGCCAUGAAAAACUUCAUGAAAUCCUGUCUGCCCUCAGUUUUAAAUUUGAUUUGGCUGAACUGGUUUUAAAACUGGCUGGAGAAGUGUGUGUAUGCCCCAGAAGAGGCCAGCAGGAUCCCCGAGAAGAGGCAGAAAUUCAGCUCCUAAUGCCUGCACCCAUCAGAGCAGUGUCCCCUCUGCCAGGCUGGGUGGAGUGCCUGCUCUGAUAAAAGGCUGAGCAGAGCAGACAUUAAAGGGAGGUCGUUAGCAAAGAUCAAAAGGCACGAAUGAGAGAUAGAGCUGGAACAUUUGCAAAGCUACCAAAGCCUUCCAGUGUGAAUGAAGAGAAGGAUGUUGUGAUGCUAAAUGAAUGGCGGCUAUCUAGAUAAUGAUAUCAGAAUUAAAUUAAUUAAGAGAAGAUUAAAGAAAGAUUGCAAAAUGAAGGAUGUAAACCUGGCCCUGCUGGAGUCAAUAGGUGUUGUGACUGUGAAGAGGUUGAGAUUUUGCUCGUGAUGGAUACCAGGAGAAAGGAAGUUACAAACUGUGGGCUAGUUUAGAUUCUAUUAAAUUAGGGAAUAAAUUAGUUGUGACGGACUUACA
rnacentral:lncRNA from 1 species